CUGAUCUCUGCUCGUUAUACAAGUAACAGGCUUGGAGAUCUUUUAUCAAAACUGCUUUUUACUCUUUUAGCAUGCAGAAUUAAAUAUUACAAGCGAAGCAAAUGUAGGUACACGAGAGAGAUGGAAGACAGAGUUCCAUUAGGUGAUAAGAAAACUAUUUGGGGAGUUGAGACCUGCCUAGCUGCCUGCUUGAUAAAACCUGUAACAAAAAGGGAACAUAUAAGCAAUAUAUGGUGAAGACAUGGAAAACCUCACAGGCAUCUAAUGUUGAACUGCACAUUAUCCACCGGCCCAUGCACUUGUUCAGGUUUCUUCGUAAAUCUAUGCUUGGAUUCUUUGUAAAGGUAUUUCAUACUACUAUUUCCUAAAUGCUACAAAUUGCAACUGGCUGGAUGAAAAUCAGAUACAGUUAUAACUCCCUUCAUGAAUUAUUUUGUCACCCUGGUGAGGUCCUUGAUGUUGUACAGCUUCGUAGACUCAUUUAUUCUGGGAUGAAAACCUAAUGCAGAAAAUCCUCAGCGGUCAUGACGCAUCAUCCAGAUGACUUUUUGUAUGACCUGUGAACCCACCAGAGCUGUUUCCAUUGACUCUGACACCACUUUCUGAGCAUGAGCAGAAUGCUGAAUUCCUUCAGCGCUGGAGGAAGGGAGAGGAAGGCUGUUUCUUCUGACAGAGGCAGUCUGGGCGUCAGCUGUGCACCUCCUCCCUAGUGAAAGAGGAAAGAGGAUUGUGCCGGUGGCAUCCCAGUGAAACGGCGUAAUGACAAGGAGCUGGCACUGGGUGACAAUGAGCUUGUUCCCUGGCUGUGUCCCAUCUCAUCAACCACAUACAUUUAAAGCUCACACAUCAAACUAGAUGGAGAAAGAUGAGGGGCCUGUAUAAAAAACUCAGAGACUACACAGAAGUAGGAAUGCCAAGGGAGAAAUUCUGCUUUUUUAUUUUUUAAAUAAAAAUACCUGCAUUAAUCAACA